CGCCACGUCAGCGCCUUGAAGAAGACGCCGGGCCACAGGACAGGGGGAACAGACCGCCGGCGCCGUCACGACUCGCGACUCCCCCCGCCACCUCCUCCGCCGCGGGAAAUCACGCGCAGAGCGUCCCCCGCCCCGCCGCGACGCCCAAAUCGCCUCGAUCCGCCGCCCGGGUGCUUCGCUAGAUAGUAACCAUCAAGUGAGGAUUCUCAGAAUUUGAUCUGAUUCGUACUGGAAUUUGGUUUGUCAGUCGGGUUCUGUAGGCAUUUGCCAUUGCGACGUGUGCCUUGUGCAUCUGGAGGUGCCCACUGAUGCAGGGAAGGUGAUGUUGGUUGAUCUUGAGCGCUUGUGAUAGUGCACAGGUUUCGAACAAUUGUUGUCUUCCACCAUGAGGGUCAAGCUUGAGCUCCUCAUGCCCCUGAUGGCGCAAUACAAAACACCCGCAUGGGCCACAUUGGUCGCCGGGUUCUUUGUGCUGCUUGCCCUUUCCCUCUCCAUGUACCUGAUAUUUGAGCAUCUAUCGGCAUACAACAACCCAGAGGAACAGAAAUUUGUUCUGGGUGUUAUUUUGAUGGUCCCUUGCUAUGCAAUUGAGUCGUAUGUUUCUUUGGUAGAUCCAAAUAUCACUGUUUACUGUGGCAUCUUGCGCGAGGGUUACGAAGCAUUAGCUAUGUACUGCUUUGGAAGAUAUAUCACUGCAUGUUUAGGUGGGGAAGAAAAAACGAUAGCCUUUUUGAAGAGGGAAGGCGGCUCAGAUUCUAGGCAACCCCUUUUGCAUCAUGCUUCCGAGAAAGGAAUUAUACACCAUCAUUUUCCCGUGAAUUAUAUUUUGAAACCCUGGCGAAUGGGGACGCGAUUUUACCAGAUUAUCAAAUUUGGAAUCUUCCAAUAUGUGAUUAUAAAGACACUCACAGCUAGCUUAUCUCUUUUUCUAGAAGCUUUUGGUGUAUAUUGUGAAGGUGAAUUCAAUUUACGAUGUGGAUACCCUUAUUUUGCUGCAAUCCUGAAUUUCAGUCAAUUUUGGGCCCUAUACUGUUUAGUAGAAUGGUACACAGCUACCAAGGACGAAUUGGCACAUAUAAAACCUCUGGCUAAGUUUCUUUCGUUCAAGUCAAUAGUAUUCUUGACUUGGUGGCAAGGGGUGGUGAUUGCAAUAAUGUAUUCUUUGGGCCUGCUUAGAAGUCCUUUAGCCCAGAGCUUGCAGUUAAAAUCAAGUAUUCAAGAUUUUAUUAUCUGCAUAGAGAUGGGCAUUGCGUCAGCUGUUCACCUCUAUGUGUUCCCUGCUAAACCCUAUGAGCUCUUAGUUAACCAGUCACCUGGAAACAUUUCAGUCCUUGGAGAUUACGCAUCCUCUGACCCUAUAGAUCCUGAAGAAGUCAAGGAGAGUAACCGGCCGAGCAAAAUGAAGCUUCCACAGUUCGAACCGGAUGAGAGAAGUGCAACAAACAUAAAAGAGAGUGUUCGCGACUUUGUGGUUGGCAGUGGGGAAUAUGUGAUCCAGGAUUUUAAGUUUACUGUUAACCAAGCAGUGCGGCCGGUGGAGAAGCGGUUUGAUAAACUGCUGAAAAAGAAAGACAAGUAUAAGAACACCCAGGAUGACAACUGGGUGAGUGCAGCAUCGCCAGAGAGACCGGUUCGUGGCAUCGAUGAUCCGCUAUUAAGCGGGAGCACAAGUGACAGCGGGGUCUUGAAGGGCAAAAAGCAACGUAGAGUUGUCAGCACAGUUGCUACCGCGGAUAGUUGGGGAGGUGGUGAUAAGACGCCUGAUGGCUACGAGAUAAGGGGCCGCCGCUGGGCAGUGAAGAAUUGACGAUUUAACCAUGUGAAGGAUUGAUAUAUUUCAAACCAUAACACGUGAAACAAGGAAGCGGCUGGCUGUCACAGAAAUUACUGGUAACCUUCUGCAACGCUGGCCAAUUUUGUUGCCUAUGCAAGUUCACGCUGUGCUGUGUUGUAGGUAGCUGCAGCUCCUGAGUCCUGAUACGGUAGUCUCUGUGCAUAGCCUAUUAUUUCUUCUUUCCAAAAGGACUGGUAGAGGGAAUUGAUUGUUACAACUUCAAUUGGUGCUGCUCAGAAUUGAGAAGAAUCUUGUUCCGUACAAACGGGAGCCCCUCUACAACUGCCCCUUUGUUUACCGAUGUACCUAAUCUUGUGAUAUUAUUGUUCGGACAUCAUACUUCGUUACUGUAAAGAGCUGGUUGAAAUAACAAUAAAGGAAAUGU
rnacentral:rRNA from 1 species